AUCCACUUGGAUCAUAAGGGACAAAUUAAGAGACUCCUUCCCUAAAGGCUUCAGAAGUACUCAGUGGCCUGCUGGCAGAGGGACAUGGCAGCCAUAUCAUUCAUCUUCUCGUAUGAGCUGUCAGAUUCUGGCUUCUGUUCCCAUACCUGCUGAUCAGAACUAUGUCCCCCUACCACAAUGGACUCAUCCUUCUGGAGCCAUAAGCCAAGCUACAUUUUCUUUCAUAUGUGUUUUUGCACAGCAAUAAAAUGAUCUCCAGUUCCUAUUACACUGUGUCGUAUUUUGCUUCGUGGUGUCACCCGUCUUUACAUCAGGAGUCUGCAUACUAUGGACAGUUGUCCAUAUCUGCCUCUCCUACACUUAGCUUCUGUAGAAAGGUCUCUUGGCACGCAGCCAUGCCCAUUCAGUGACAUACAGCCACACCCACUCACUUGCACCAGCCAUGCCUACUCGGUGACACGAAGACACACCCACUAAAUGGCAUGCAGCUACACUCAUACAGCAGCACUCUGUCUAUAGCUGUUUUCUUGCAACCACAGCUCAACUGAAUAGUUUAACAAGAGACUAUAUAGCCAGGAAAGCUUACAAAGUAGUUACUACUUGGCACUUCACACACACACACACACACA